AAAUAGUUGGAUAAUAUUGGCCAGAUAAAGCAUUUGUAGCCACAUGAAAAUGCUCUAAAAAAUCUAAAAGAAUUUUAACGUUAGUCCAAUCUUGUGUAGUUAGCAUGUCAUUAUCGUCCUCACCACAAUCCCGAGGAUUACACAUAGCGUUAAUUGGGUUUCUAUAUUCGUACGCUACUACAAAACUUUCGUACAUGUAAUUACACCCAGUCGGGCAGGGUUUAGGAACCUUUCUUUCUCUAAGGCCAUAUUCGUCACACUUUUUAAAAU
rnacentral:lncRNA from 1 species